rnacentral:rRNA from 1 species
UACAGCAUAAGARGAAGGUAGUGACAAGUAAAUAACAAUACAAGGCAGUUAAAAUAGGCUUUGUAAUURGRAAUYGAUAGAAAUUUAAACACUUUUUAAAGUAUCAAUUAGGAGGGCAAGUCUGGUGCCAGCAGCCGCGGUAAUUCCAGCUCCAAUAGCGUAUAUUAAAAUUGUUGCAGUUAAAAAGCUCGUAGUUGAAUUUCUGCUAAAAAUAACCGGUCUGCUUUUAAUAAAGGUGGUAUCUUGGUGUGUUUUUAGCAAUAAUGUCCUUUGAAAUGUUUUUUACUUCAUUGUAAUAAAUUAUWUUUAGGAUUUUUACUUUGAGAAAAUUAGAGUGUUU